GCAAAUCCUGACCAGAAGACAGUAAAAGAAUCACUUACAAUUUGCUAUCAAGUUAUGUGAAUCCCUUUUUUAAUCUUUUGAUGAUAGAAGAUUCUUCUCAAUCUUCUAUUUUGAAGAAAUUUGAUUCUUCCUCUUACAAUCUUUCUGCCCUUUUUAAGAUCAAUGAUGCAUAUAUUUCAAAUUAGAUUGCUGUUAUUUGCACAUAUAUAAACAUGGAGACCAUUCUUUUUUCUAAGUUGAAUAUGGUUAUCUGUAUUGGUGAAGAAAUUGAAAGUACAUGGAUUUUGUAGUAUAAUAAUAUGUAUAACUUCUGACAAGCUAGAGCAUCAAGGCACAAUGCAGAUGUAGGCAUCUCACUUCAGUUAUGAGCUGGCAAUACAAUUUGAAAAGUACUUGGAUACAGAGUUUGAUUUGAUUUACAUGCAAAAUAAUAGUUGAAAACUCCAAAGUUCUUCAACACAAGCAUCAUAAUCUAGACAAAACAAUUAAACAAAUCCAGCUGCUGAAUACUAUUUUAUAUUAAUUUCUGUCUCACUUGAAGAUUGAAUUUUUAUGUGUGUUGUUUAAUCAUGCUGAACUAGAUUGUUGGGCAAUGCUAAUGGCCGUCUUAUUAUUGCAGUAUAAGAGACUUUUCUUUUUUUUUUUAAAUCCAGCAAUUCUAGCUCCUGUAUUGAUCUCUGAAUCCAUAGAAGUUCACAAACACCUUGAACCAUGACUCAUGUAUUUAGCCUUUGUACUUGAUCUUGUCACUAUGUUAUGCUUCUUGCUUCUCCAUGUGUCUAGAUUUCCAUUGAAAAAUGUGCAAUAACCCUAUGUAGAUCCACCUUAAUUUGCAUCUAUAUAGCUUUCUACUUUUAGAUGACUAUGUUUGGCAAACAACAGUCCCUUGGAGCUGAUUUCAGAUAACUUAAAGUACGAAGUACAGCUUCUAAAUGUGAAUCCUGAGGAUUGUAUGCAUAAAUUGACUAAUACCACUUGAAGCAAAAGAUCAUGCAUAAAUUUUCUUGUCUAAAUACUGUUCUGGUGCAGAAAUCCACCGCUUUGGGGAACAGUGAAAUAUCUCUCUGAGAAAAUUCCAAAAGAUACUUCUAACAAGGUGCGGAUAAAUCGCGAUCUCUAUUCUCAUGAAAAAAUAAUGGAGACAGCACCGACAUUGCCUGAUUUUGCUUUGUCCCUGAAACCCGACGAGUAUCAGCUUCCUUCGGUGGAUUCAUCUUGGAACGAAGAGAAUGUGAAUGGAGGGUAAGCCUAUUCCGACAAAUCAAGAGUGAAGGCUGUUUGUAAUCUUUGCAAAAAGAAGCUAUUCUACAAAAGCCAUCUCAAAAACUUGGAGUGGCCAAUUAAACAGGUGUAUCAUUCUUCAACUGUGUACCAAAGGUCCACUUUAGCCCCACAUUUUUUAAGUAAAGUUUUCUUUUUCUUUUCCAAGAUUUCUUUUCCAACCUUAAAGCUUUGUAGCUUACCCUGUAAUAGAGCUUUGUGCAAGUUCCUGUUGUGUGUAAAUUUCUUGCUGCGGAAAAAGAAUUGUUUUCCUUGCUUGUAAAAUUGAUUAUAGCAAUAAACAUGAUUUUCUCUCUC